rnacentral:rRNA from 1 species
AACGAACGCUGGCGGCAGGCCUAACACAUGCAAGUCGAACGCCCCGCAAGGGGAGUGGCAGACGGGUGAGUAACACGUGGGAACGUACCCUUCGGUUCGGGAUAACUCAGGGAAACUUGAGCUAAUACCGGAUACGUCCGAGAGGAGAAAGAUUUAUCGCCGAGGGAUCGGCCCGCGUCUGAUUAGCUUGUUGGUGAGGUAACGGCUCACCAAGGCGACGAUCAGUAGCUGGUCUGAGAGGAUGAUCAGCCACAUUGGGACUGAGACACGGCCCAAACUCCUACGGGAGGCAGCAGUGGGGAAUAUUGGACAAUGGGCGCAAGCCUGAUCCAGCCAUGCCGCGUGAGUGAUGAAGGCCCUAGGGUUGUAAAGUCCUUUCGGCGGGGAAGAUAAUGACGGUACCCGCAGAAGAAGCCCCGGCUAACUUCGUGCCAGCCGCCGCAGUAAC